UGAAAUUGGAGGUCCCGGCGUAGUCCGUA
rnacentral:sRNA from 1 species